UACGAAGGGGGCUAGCGUUGUUCGGAUUUACUGGGCGUAAAGCGCACGUAGGCGGAUCGUUAAGUCGGGGGGUGAAAUCCUGGAGCUCAACUCCAGAACUGCCUUUGAUACUGGCGAUCUUGAGUUCGGGAGAGGUGAGUGGAACUGCGAGUGUAGAGGUGAAAUUCGUAGAUAUUCGCAAGAACACCAAGUGGCGAAGGCGGCUCA
rnacentral:rRNA from 1 species